rnacentral:rRNA from 1 species
GACGAACGCUGGCGGCGUGCUUAACACAUGCAAGUCGAACGGAAAGGCCCUGCUUUUGUGGGGUGCUCGAGUGGCGAACGGGUGAGUAACACGUGAGUAACCUGCCCUUGACUUUGGGAUAACUUCAGGAAACUGGGGCUAAUAUCGGAUAGGAGCUCCUGCUGCAUGGUGGGGGUUGGAAAGUUUCGGCGGUUGGGGAUGGACUCGCGGCUUAUCAGCUUGUUGGUGGGGUAGUGGCUUACCAAGGCUUUGACGGGUAGCCGGCCUGAGAGGGUGACCGGCCACAUUGGGACUGAGAUACGGCCCAGACUCCUACGGGAGGCAGCAGUGGGGAAUAUUGCACAAUGGGCGGGAGCCUGAUGCAGCAACGCCGCGUGCGGGAUGACGGCCUUCGGGUUGUGAACCGCUUUCGCCUGUGACGAAGCGUGAGUGACGGUAAUGGGUAAAGAAGCACCGGCUAACUACGUG